AAAAGAAUGAAAGAGAGAGAGAAAUUGAGAGAGAUGAAGAAAGAAGCCCGUCGCCAGUUUGUCCCUGCCGCUCAUCGUCUUCACCAUCGUCGGCGUCUUUCGCUCACCUUCCUCGGCCGCUGCUCAUCGUCUUCUGCCACUGCCACUGCCGCUUGUCGUUUCGAUUUAAGAAAAACACGUCGCUGGUCGAGCAUGAACAACUAAGUGGUGGAUAACAAAGAUGUUCUUUGUGAUUAACCAAUAGAAAUCCAAGAACGAAACCGGGGUGAUGAAGAUCACAAAUAGAAUCAAUGAACACAUGAGCUUCAUUCUCCUAUUGAAGUUUCUAACAAAAGAGAUUUCAAACCAUCUGUGAACUAGUCCAAAGAGAGGAAAUGCCAACUUCAACAGCUUUAGUUUUUUUCUUUUUUUUUUUCUGUUGAUGACAAAAAUUUAUCAUCCAUUUUGCAACUCUUGCUCUAUGAUUGCAUCCUUAGACAUUCAUGUAAUAUUAAUCAACUUGGCUUGUGGAGUGUUUCAUCCAUCUUGGCUUGUGGAGUGUUCCAUCCAUGAGUAGAGAAGUAGUUCCUACGGGAAGAUCUUUGAUCAAAAGAUAAUUUAAAUCUAAUAAUUUUAUUUGGAAUGAAGUCAAUUGAUUUUGGAAAUUUA